CAAUAGCGUAUAUUAAAGUUGUUGCAGUUAAAAAGCUCGUAGUUGGACCUUGGACCUGGACAGGCGGUUCGCCUCACGGCGUGUACUGUCUUGCUGGGUCUUUCCUCUUGGUGAUCUGUUGUUUCGGCAGCAGGGAACCAGGACUUUUACUUUGAAAAAAUUAGAGUGUUCAAAGCAGGCUCGACGCCGGAAUAUAUUAGCAUGGAAUAAUAAAAUAGGACGUGCGGUUCUAUUUUGUUGGUUUUUGGAAUCGCCGUAAUGAUUAAUAGGGACAGUCGGGGGCAUUAGUACUCGCAUGCUAGAGGUGAAAUUCUUGGAUUUUGUGAAGACUAACUUCUGCGAAAGCAUUUGCCAAGGAUGUUUUCAUUAA
rnacentral:rRNA from 1 species